AAUAAAACUGAUUCAUUGUGUUUUCUUUAUAUUUUUAUUUUCACACUUUAACAAACAUUCAAACUGUGCAAAUGAAUCAAAUGAGUCAGAUGAAAUCUGUCAACACUGAAAAACUCAGAGGCCACAGAGGAACUCCAGUAGACAUACUGGGAACUUAUACUGACACAAACUGGGAACUUAUACUUGGACAAACAGAGACCUUGUACUGGGAAUCUGCUGGAUUCUACUGUUCUAUAAUUAGAUCUGAACUAUGAAUCACUACAGUCACUUUCAAUCAUAUCUCUUUUCUAAAUUAUUCUCUUCAUCUUGGGCUUCAUUCAGGUCUUCCUCAGGUUAAAUUUUAGAUCUGUGAAUCAGGGUCUUGGUCGUCUGUGGUCUUGACGAGGUCCUAAGGUCGUCUCUGGUUUGUACUGAGUCUUACAGUUGUCUCUGGUUUGUAGUGGGUCUAAUGGUUGUCACUGGUUUGGACUGGGUCUUACGGUCUUCUCUGGUUUGGACACUGUCUUACAGUCGUCUCUGGUUUGGACUGGGUCUUAUGGUCUUCUCUGGUUUGGACUGGGUCUUACAGUCUUCUCUGGUUUGGACUGGGUCUUACAGUGGUCUCUGGUUUGGACCCCUUCUUAUAGUUGUCUCUGGGUUGGACACCGUCUUACGGUCGUCUCUGGUUUGGACUGAGUCUUACCGUCUUCUCUGGUUUGGACUGGGUCUAAUGGUUGUCACUGGUUUGGACUGGGUCUUACGGUCUUCUCUGGUUUGGACACUGUCUUACAGUUGUCUCUGGUUUGGACUGGGUCUAAUGGUUGUCACUGGUUUGGACUGGGUCUUACAGUCUUCUCUGGUUUGGACACUGUCUUACAGUUGUCUCUGGUUUGGACUGGGUCUUACGGUCUUCUCUGGUUUGGACACCGUCUUACAGUCGUAUCUCUGGUUUGGACUGGGUCUUACGGUCUUCUCUGGUUUGGACACUGUCUCACGGUCGUCUCUGGUUUGGACUGGGUUUUAUGGUCUUCUCUGGUUUGGACUGGGUCUUAUGGUCUUCUCUGGUUUGGACUGGGUAUUACGGUCGUCCCUGGUUUGGACUGGGUCUUAUGGUAGUCUCUGGUUUGGACUAGGUCUUAUGGUAGUCUCUGGUUUGGACUGGGUCUUAUGGUCAUCUCUGGUUUGGACUGGGUCUUACGGUCUUUUCUGGUUUGGACACUGUCUUACGGUCGUCUCUGGUUUGGACUGGGUCUUAUGGUUGUCUCUGGUUUGGACUGGGUCUUACGGUCGUCUCUGGUUUGGACUGGGUCUUAUGGUUGUCUCUGGUUUGGACUGGGUAUUACGGUCGUCCCUGGUUUGGACUGGGUCUUAUGGUAGUCUCUGGUUUGGACUGGGUCUUAUGGUCAUCUCUGGUUUGGACUGGGUAUUACGGUUGUCCCUGGUUUGGACUGGGUAUUACGGUUGUCCCUGGUUUGGACUGGGUCUUAUGGUCAACUCUGGUUUGGACUGGGUGUUAUGGUCAACUCUGGUUUGGACUGGGUCUUACAGUGGUCUCUGGUUUGGACCCCUUCUUAUAGUUGUCUCUGGUUUGGACUGGGUCUUAUGGUUGUCUCUGGUUUGGACUGGGUCUUAUUGUCUCUGAUUUGAACUGGGUCUUACAAUCGUCUCUAGUUUGGACUGGGUCUUAUGGUAGUCUCUGGUUUGGACUGGGUCUUAUGGUCAUCUCUGGUUUGGACUGGGUCUUAUGGUAGUCUCUGGUUUAGUGUGGGUCUUUUGGUCUUCUCUGGCUUGUACUGGGUCGUAUUGUCUUUUCUGGUUUGUACUAGGUCUUAUGGUCAUCCCUG